GUUCCUGUAGCGCAGUAAUAGCGCAUUGGACCUCUAAUCCAAAGAACGUGGGUUCGAAUCCCACCUGAGAUG